AUUGAACGCUGGCGGCAGGCCUAACACAUGCAAGUCGAGCGAGCGGCGGACGGGUGAGUAAUGUAUGGGGAUCUGCCCGAUAGAGGGGGAUAACUACUGGAAACGGUGGCUAAUACCGCAUACUAUCGGAUGAACCCAUAUUGGAUUAGCUAGUUGGUGGGGUAAAGGCUCACCAAGGCGACGAUCCCUAACUGGUCUGAGAGGAUGAUCAGUCACACUGGAACUGAGACACGGCCCAGACUCCUACGGGAGGCAGCAGUGGGGAAUAUUGGACAAUGGGCGCAAGCCUGAUGCAGCCAUGCCGCGUGUGUGAAGAAGGCCUUAGGAUUGUAAAGUACUUUCAGCUGGGAGGCGUUACCAGCAGAAGAAGCACCGGCUAACUACGUGCCAGCAGCCGCGGUAAUUC
rnacentral:rRNA from 1 species